UACAUGGGGUGCAAACGUUGCUCGGAAUUAUUGGGCGUAAAGCGCGCGCAGGCGGUCCCUUAAGUCUGAUGUGAAAGCCCACGGCUCAACCGUGGAGGGUCAUUGGAAACUGGGGGACUUGAGUACAGAAGAGGAAAGCGGAAUCCACGUGUAGCGGUGAAAUGCGUAGAGAUGUGGAGGAACACCAGUGGCGAAGGCGGCUUUCUGGUCUGUAACUGACGCUGAGGCGCGAAAAGCGUGGGGGAGCAAACAG
rnacentral:rRNA from 1 species